AGGAAGCAGGCUCCCUGCUGAGCAGAGAGCCUGAUGCAGGGCUCGGUUCCAGGACCUGAAGAUCACGACCUGAGCUGAAGGCUGAUGCUUAAUUGACUGAGCCACUA